rnacentral:rRNA from 1 species
AUGAUUGCGAGCUCUAGUGUCGCGAGCUCUAGUGCAUUGUUGGAGAGCCUCUCAACAAGGCAUAAGCACGAGUUGGCCACCCUUGAGGCCGCCUGGCAGGGUUGUCGUGUGAGGCGGAUAGAGGUCGGCCUGCCGGCCUACUCCUCAGAGGUCUCCGACAAUGACCUGACGAUGGAGAUAGCCUUCGACGACGAGUUGGCGCCCCUGCCCGCCCUGUUCCAUGCCGGCUUGACCAUGGAGCAUGCGCAGGCGCACUUCAAGGAUGCCAUGGCGGAGCAGCACGGCGUGGAUGGGCAUCACAACGGUAAGAAAUUCCCCUGCCCGCUCCGGAUCCUUCCAUCCAUCACCAGCUCCACUUUCCUUUUAUUUCCGCCGCCACGCCACGCGCACCUCGGCCAAGGACAAGGCUCCGGCUGCCGCCACCGCCUCUGCCCCGGCUAUAAGCCGCGCCCUUUGGCCGGCCCGCUCCUCCUCCUCCUCGCUUCGCCCGGGCCGUGCCUUCCUCCUCCUCGCCGCGCCCUGCCCGGUCCGCUCCUCCUCCUCUUCGUCCAGGCGGUGCCUCUCUCCUCCGACCUCCCCGCCGCACUCCGGCUGGUCCGCUGCUCCUCCACCCUUCGCCCGGGCCGGGUGUAUGUCCUCCUCGAGCCGGAUUUCAUCUUGCUCGUCCUCCUCGAUCAAUUUCCCCCUCUAGAAUCGCGCCGUGGGUGCCAUUUCCAGCAGGCAGCAGAGCAGAAAGUAGUGCAAAUCAUGUGGCUGCUGCUUGACAUUGAACACCUGCUGCUGCUACUGCUGGACAAGACUCUGAAAUUUGGUGAUAAAGAAAAGCUGAAUUAUUUCCGGAUAGGACAGAGGUGCAAUGUUUACAUCCAUGGUAGAAGGUUCUUUAACACUGAACUCAUCAAAGGUCCUUGGACUCAAGAGGAAGAUGAAAAAAUUAUUGACCUUGUAAACAAGUAUGGAUUAACAAAAUGGUCGCAUUGUCAGCUACCAGAACUUCCUGCUGCUGAUCCUAGGAUGUUUCCGAACAUGUUCAAUUUGUCCGCCCUAGGACAGGUUACUCGGCAUGCUCUGCGUGUUUACUUUGGUGGACUUCCUCCGAUCGCUAAUGAACAGACGGUUGCUCUAUUCUUCAAUCAAGUUCUGGCUGCUAUCGGGGGAAACACAUUUGGUCUAGGUGAUGCAGUUGUUAAUAUGAAGCUGAUUUUUGAAUUCAUUCAAAACAUCUUAGUUGUUAAUAUGAAGCUGAUUUUUGAAUUCAUUCAAAACAUCUUAGGUGGCAUAAUCAUCUGA